rnacentral:rRNA from 1 species
UACGUAGGUGGCAAGCGUUGUCCGGAUUUACUGGGCGUAAAGGGUGCGUAGGCGGUCGUGCAAGUCGGAUGUGAAAUCUCAGGGCUCAACCCUGAAACUGCAUUCGAUACUGCGUGGCUAGAGUGCUGGAGAGGAGACUGGAAUUUACGGUGUAGCAGUGAAAUGCGUAGAUAUCGUAAGGAAGACCAGUGGCGAAGGCGAGUCUCUGGACAGCAACUGACGCUGAGGCACGAAGGCCAGGGGAGCAAACGGG